CCUACGGGUGACAGCAGUGAGGAAUCUUGGACAAUGGGCGCGAGCCUGAUCCAGCCAAGCAGCGUGAAGGAUGACUGCCCUACGGGUUGUAAACUUCUUUUAUAAAGGGAUAAAGUGAGGCACGUGUGCCUUUUUGUAUGUACUUUAUGAAUAAGGAUCGGCUAACCCCGUGCCAGUAGCCGCGGUAAUACGGAGGAGCCGAGCGUUAUCCGGAUUGAUUGGGUUAAAAGGGAGCGUAGAUGGGUUGUUAAGUCAGUUGUGAAAGUAUGCGGCUCAACAGUAAAAUUGCAAUUGAUACUGGCAGCCUUGAGUACAGUUGAGGUAGGCGGAAUUCGUGGUGUAGCAGUGAAAUGCGUAGAUAUCACGAAGAACUCCGAUUGCGAAGGCAGCUUACUAAACUGCCACUGACAUUGAUGCUCGAAAGCGUGGGGAUCAAACAGGAUUAGAUACCCUUGUAGUC
rnacentral:rRNA from 1 species